GCCUUCUUAGCUCAGUGGUAGAGCGCGCCACUCGUACGAUGUACGCCAUGGUGAGGUCGGUUGUUCAAUCCAGCCAGGAGGCA
rnacentral:tRNA from 1 species